AAAUCCGUCGACUUUUAAAAUCGUGAGGGUC
rnacentral:tRNA from 1 species